rnacentral:rRNA from 1 species
GAUGAACGCUGGCGGCGUGCUUAACACAUGCAAGUCGAACGGAAAGGCUCUUGCUUGCAGGUGUACUCGAGUGGCGAACGGGUGAGUCACGCGUGGGUUAUCUGCUCUGCACCUCGGGAUAAGCCUGGGAAACUGGGUCUAAUACCGGAUAGGACCACAUUUGGGUUGGUGUGGUGGAAAGUUUUUCGGUGUGGGAUUAGCUCGCGGCCUAUCAGCUUGUUGGGGGGGUAAUGGCCUAACAGGGCGUCGACGGGGACCGGGCCUGGGGGGGUGUACGGCCAAAAUGGGAAUGAGAUACGGCCCAGGAUCCGUCGGGAGGGAGGAGUGGGGGAUAUUGCAAAAAGGGGGGAAGGCUGAUGGCGGGACGCCGGGUGGGGGGUGACGGCCUUCGGGGUGUAAACUCCUUUCGCUAGGGAAGAAGGGUUUUUGUGACGGUACCUGGAGAAGAAGCACCGGCUAACUACGUG